GGGGCUGAACGGUUUCGACUACGUAUGUUGCGUCAGGAGAAGCGUGCCGGUGCAGGCUAGAGACCACCGUAAGCGUCGUAGCACCUUAUUAAGCGCCGAAAAUACUCAGCGCGACUACGCUCUCGCUGCUUAAUAGCGACAGCUAGUCUGUGGGCCCGGAAGUGUCUCCGAUCCGGUGUUUUCCCACAUCAUCAAGGGGGGCUUACUGCUAACUGCGGCUACGGCAGGUGGCAGGACAUCACACAGUAGCUGGGUUCGCCUUCCGGGCUUGUGAGCGUGCUCCGGAGAACCAAGUAAGGGCGUAGUUCACUGCGCACGGAGAAGUCCUGGCAAAGCUGCGGAGGACCCGGGUUCAAUUCCCGGCAGCUCCAC
rnacentral:tmRNA from 1 species